rnacentral:rRNA from 1 species
ACGGGAGGCAGCAGUGAGGAAUAUUGGUCAAUGGACGGAAGUCUGAACCAGCCAAGUAGCGUGCAGGAUGACUGCCCUAUGGGUUGUAAACUGCUUUUAUACGGGGAUAAAAAAGGGAACGUGUUCCCUCUUGUAGGUACCGUAAGAAAAAGGACCGGCUAAUUCCGUGCCAGCAGCCGCGGUAAUACGGAAGGUCCGGGCGUUAUCCGGAUUUAUUGGGUUUAAAGGGAGCGCAGGCGGUCUGUUAAGCGUGUGGUGAAAUGUAGUCGCUCAACGUCUGCACUGCCACGCGAACUGGCGGACUUGAGUGCGGUGAACGCUGGCGGAAUUCGUGGUGUAGCGGUGAAAUGCUUAGAUAUCACGAAGAACUCCGAUUGCGAAGGCAGCUGGCGGUACCGUUACUGACGCUCAUGCUCGAAAGUGUGGGUAUCGAACAGGAUUAGAUACCCUGGUA